AGCUCCGUGAUUACAUUGCCCAUUCAGGCUAUAUACGCUAUUCCGAUUCAAAAAUAUGAGCUGAAAAUCGUUGAGAGAAAGUAUGAGAGCU
rnacentral:snoRNA from 1 species